rnacentral:rRNA from 1 species
CCCUUAGAUGUUCUGGGCUGCACGCGCGCUACACUGAUGCACUCAACGAGUUUACAACCUUAUCCGGAAGGAUUGGGUAAUCUUUUGAACGUGCAUCGUGAUGGGGAUAGACUUUUGCAAUUUUUGGUCUUCAACGAGGAAUUCCUAGUAAACGCAAGUCAUCAACUUGCAUUGAUUACGUCCCUGCCCUUUGUACACACCGCCCGUCGCACCUACCGAUUGAAUGGUCCGGUGAAGCCUCCGGAUUGGCGCGCACCUCGGUGCCGCCGAGAAGUUGGCUAAACCUUACCAUUUAGAGGAAGGUGAAGUCGUAACA